rnacentral:rRNA from 1 species
AUUGAACGCUGGCGGCAGGCCUAACACAUGCAAGUCGAGCGGAUGAAGGGAGCUUGCUUCUGUAUUCAGCGGCGGACGGGUGUGUAAUGCCUAGGAAUCUGCCUGGUAGUGGGGGAUAACGUCCGGAAACGUGCGCUAAUACCGCAUACGGACUGAGGAAGAAAGGAGGGGAUCUUCGGACCUCACGCUAUCAGAUGAGCUUAGGUCGGAUUAGCUAGUUGGUGGGGUAAAGGCCUACCAAGGCGACGAUCCGUAACUGGUCUGAGAGAAUGAUCAGUCACACUGGAACUGAGACACGGUCCAGACUCCUACGGGAGGCAGCAGUGGGGAAUAUUGGACGAUGGGCGAAAGCCUGAUCCAGCAAUGCCGCGUGUGUGAAGAAGGUCUUCGGAUUGUAAAGCACUUUAAGUUGGGAGGAAGGGCAGUAAGUUACUACCUUGCUGUUUUGACGUUACCAACAGAAUAAGCACCGGCUAACUUCGUG